rnacentral:rRNA from 1 species
ACGCGAAAACUUUACAAUGCGGGAGACCGUGAUAAGGGAAUCUCGAGUGCCAGCAUAUAAUGUUGGCUGUCCAGAUGCCUAAAAAGCAUCUGUUAGCAAGGGCCGGGCAAGACCGGUGCCAGCCGCCGCGGUAACACCGGCGGCCCGAGUGGUAACCGCUUUUAUUGGGUCUAAAGGGUCUGUAGCCGGCCAAGUAAGUCCCUUGGGAAAUCUGGCAGCUUAACUGUCAGGCUGCUAGGGGAUACUGCUAGGCUUGGGACCGGGAGAGGUGAGAGGUACCUUGGGGGUAGGGGUGAAAUCUUGUGAUCCUCGGGGGACCACCAGUGGCGAAGGCGUCUCACCAGAACGGGUCCGACGGUAAGGGACGAAAGCUAGGGGCACGAACCG